CUACGGGGGGCAGCAGUGGGGAAUAUUGCACAAUGGGCGAAAGCCUGAUGCAGCAACGCCGCGUGAGGGACGACGGCCUUCGGGUUGUAAACCUCUUUUAGCAGGGAAGAAGCGAAAGUGACGGUACCUGCAGAAAAAGCACCGGCUAACUACGUGCCAGCAGCCGCGGUAAUACGUAGGGUGCAAGCGUUGUCCGGAAUUAUUGGGCGUAAAGAGCUCGUAGGCGGUUUGUCGCGUCUGCUGUGAAAAUCCGAGGCUCAACCUCGGACCUGCAGUGGGUACGGGCAAACUAGAGUGCGGUAGGGGAGAGUGGAAUUCCUGGUGUAGCGGUGGAAUGCGCAGAUAUCAGGAGGAACACCAAUGGCGAAGGCAGAUCUCUGGGCCGUAACUGACGCUGAGGAGCGAAAGCGUGGGGAGCGAACAGGAUUAGAUACCCUAGUAGUC
rnacentral:rRNA from 1 species